rnacentral:rRNA from 1 species
AUUGAACGCUGGCGGCAGGCCUAACACAUGCAAGUCGAACGCGUGGCGGACGGGUGCGUACUGUUUGGGAAACUGCCUGAUGGAGGGGGAUAACUACUGGCUACGGUAGCUGAUACCGCAUACCAUCAGAUGUGCCCCGAUGGGAUUAGCUAGUUGGUGGGGUAACGGCUAACCAAGGCGACGAUCCCUCGCUGGUCUGAGAGGAUGACCAUCCACACUGGAACUGAGACACGGUCCAGACUCCUACGGGAGGCAGCGGUGGGAAAUAUUGCACAAUGGGCGCAAGCCUGAUGCAGCCAUGCCGCUUGUAUGAAGAAGGCCUUCGGGUUGUAAAGUACUGUCAGCGGGGAGGCGUUACCCGCAGAAGAAGCACCGGCUAACUCCGUGCCAGCAGCCGCGGUAAUUC